UGAGCCUAACCCACGGCAAUCCACUUCGGCGCCCAAUCCCGCACGGCGAAUAUGUAUCGCGAUGGCUAUCUCCGGAGUGCCGGCUUGUAGGGAGCGACCCUCACAAGCAUGUGCGAAUGAGCACAAUGGCAAGUAUCGUAAGAUCCGUCUCAAGUACCAAGUCCUCAUGUCUACAAACAUGGAAUAUACAUCGAAUGUCUCAAAGGCCUAUCUCUAUGUCAUCAUGUCUAAAACAUGGAAAUAAUAGAUAUCAAUGGCCUAUCACUACGUCUCAAAGUAGCAGUUUCAUAGUCUACUAAGUCAAGUGCCCUUUGAUGGCAUUUUUAUUCGCUAAGUCCAAGCUUGAAUCAAAUGUUCACAAAUGCAUAAUUCGAGCUAUUUUAAGCAUACGAGACAAGCUUCCAAUUCGCUACCAUGAACACUUCUCACAUGUAUGUAUAAUACCCAGAAUGCUCUACUAUAUAGAGUGAAAUUUAUCUUACACAUAACACAUGCAUUUUAAGUGUUCUAAAAUUCA
rnacentral:lncRNA from 1 species